CCUGAUAGAGUCUGACGGAGCACGCCGCGUGAGUGAUGAAGGCUUUCGGGUCGUAAAACUCUGUUGUUAGGGAAGAACAAGUGCUAGUUGAAUAAGCUGGCACCUUGACGGUACCUAACCAGAAAGCCACGGCUAACUACGUGCCAGCAGCCGCGGUAAUACGUAGGUGGCAAGCGUUAUCCGGAAUUAUUGGGCGUAAAGCGCGCGCAGGUGGUUUCUUAAGUCUGAUGUGAAAGCCCACGGCUCAACCGUGGAGGGUCAUUGGAAACUGGGAGACUUGAGUGCAGAAGAGGAAAGUGGAAUUCCAUGUGUAGCGGUGAAAUGCGUAGAGAUAUGGAGGAACACCAGUGGCGAAGGCGACUUUCUGGUCUGUAACUGACACUGAGGCGCGAAAGCGUGGGGAGCAAACAGGAUUAGAUACCCUGGUAGUCCACGCCGUAAACGAUGAGUGCUAAGUGUUAGAGGGUUUCCGCCCUUUAGUGCUGAAGUUAACGCAUUAAGCACUCCG
rnacentral:rRNA from 1 species